rnacentral:lncRNA from 1 species
GUUGCUUUUAAGUUCAUAUAUUAAUGUAUUCAAUACUAUUCUGUUAUGCUGAAUCAUAUUAAUAUACUGGGUUUUAACUACUGUUAUAUUUUGUUGCUUUUCCACUAUAACUAUACUGAACAAAUAUUAUUGAAAUAAGCCCAUAUUUUAAAAAAAACCAGCCUUUUUUCUAUUUUGACUUUGUAAAUUGUCACAUAGAGCAUGGAUGGACUUCAUCAAAACUGGUUAUAAUUGUAUAACAACCUUUGGAAAGUUAAUGAGCUAAAUAUCUCAAAUUGAUUUUAAGCAGUCUUUAGACAUGAUUUUUAUAUUUUUUUCAACAACUCUGAUCAUUUUGCCUGCCUCUAGCAGGAGGUAAGGUCCAUUUUAAUAGCUGAAGUGAAAUACAAUUAUAAUCCCCACCUCCCACAUUUAUAAAAAUGUGAAUGGAUGAGACAUCACAAUCUCAUACCAAAGGAGCUGGGAAGUUAAUCCCAGGGCAUGGAAACUUUGAAUGGCUCCCAAAAGGGAGCAUCUCUCAUUUAUAACUCUUCAGCUCACUUUACUUCCCCCAGAAUGAUCUCUAGAUUUCUUGAUGAUGUUCUAGACCCAAAUAAGUUUUACUUUGUUUAAAAACAUAUUUGCCAUGAUUGAAAUAUUGCUACAUCUGAAAAAAUUAUAACAAAUAUCCAUAGGUUAUUUUUUGUCAUACAGCAACUUAUAUGAAAUAUGAUAGUGGGUUUGUUUGCUAUUGUAAUUAACUGGGCUAUUGGGAAUUUUGGGGAUUUUGGUACUUUUUGAAUGUGCAUUACCUGUUGUACUACUGUUCUUUAUAAAAAAACUAUUACUUUGUGAAAUUCAUUUGCUUGUAAUCACAGUGGAUCAUGGCCAGGUAUGAAGAGGAAAUGGAUCUUAUUUUUGUGGCAAUGCAGAGAUCCCUGAACAACUUGGAGGAAUCUAUGAGAAAAACCACUGUCCACACCCAGAGAAAAAACUGUGGGAGCAGAAACACUGAAGAAAAACAACUGCUUGAUUACAUGGGUCGAGGGGAAUAUGAUUGGGGAUGUAGACUCUAAAUGAUCAUCCUGGUGCAAACAUCAACAACAUGGAAAUAGGUUUUGAUCAAGGACACACAUAAAACCCAAUGCAAUUGCUUAUUGGCUAUGGGAAGGGGUGGGAGGAGGGACAGAAUAUGAUUCUUGUAACCAAGGAAUAAUGUUCUAAAUUGACUAAAUAAAAUUAAAAAAAAAAGAUCUGGAAUAUGAUUC